UCAGCAGUUCUGCCGUCAGAUGGACGUAAC
rnacentral:piRNA from 1 species